UACGGAGGGUGCGAGCGUUGUCCGGAAUCACUGGGCGUAAAGGGCGCGUAGGCGGCUUGUCGCGUCGUCCGUGAAAACCCGGGGCUCAACUCCGGGCUUGCGGGCGAUACGGGCAGGCUAGAGUUCGGUAGGGGAGACUGGAAUUCCUGGUGUAGCGGUGAAAUGCGCAGAUAUCAGGAGGAACACCAGUGGCGAAGGCGGC
rnacentral:rRNA from 1 species